rnacentral:sRNA from 1 species
AAUGCAUCAACAGCAAAACAGAUUAGCACACUAGAGAGGGAGAUGGAUUAAUAAAAUCAUUCGGUUCUGUUUGGAGUUUGCUAGUAUAAUAUAUUCUUGGUUCUGUUUGGAGUUUGCUAUAAUAUAUUCUUUCUUGACGAAUUAUCUCCAUUCGUAAGCGUGCGUUAUCCUCGCCUCAACUAAUAUUGGAAUUACAGUUCUUCUGUCCAGAAUAGUAGCUUGGCUAUCCCUUUGUCUUUUGCUCUGCCGAAUAAAACAGCAACUGCAGUUGUUACACAAUUUUUCUAAAAAAAUCUUAGUCCAAAUUCCGAAACAAUUCAUUCUACUACUUGGGACCUGGGAGUGGAAAAGCAGUUCUGACUGAAUAAUUCAUACGCGUGAUAAAUUGGGAUAUUGAGAGCCGUAUAGCGAAUCAGAAUUUUGAUAUAACGUACUGAAUGAACAAGAAUGACCUCUGUAUUGGGCAUAUCCGCAUAUGGCAAUUUGUCGACCAUCAUGGAACAGUUUGAUCAAGUUGAUGGCAUGCGUUUUUAGAGAAAGUUGAUGCAAUGCACUGGAAAUGUAAUGUUGUACUCCAAACAGAAUUGGGCAAGCCCUGAUAUGCUAUUCCGCCCUUUGCACAC